CAAGAGCGUAUGUAAAAGUUGUUGCAGUUAAAAAGCUCGUAGUUGAACCUUGGGUUUGGUUGGCCGGUCCGCUUUUUUGCGAGUACUGGAUUCAACCGAGCCUUUCCUUCUGGCUAACCAGUCGUUUCGGCGGCUGGCGAACCAGGAUUUUUACUUUGAGAAAAUUAGAGUGUUCAAAGCAGGCAUUAGCUUGAAUAUAUUAGCAUGGGAUAAUAGAAUAGGACGUUAUGGUUCUAUUUUGUUGGUUUCUAGGACCAUCGUAAUGAUUAAUAGGGACGGUCGGGGGCAUCAGUAUUCAGUUGUCAGAGGUGAAAUUCUUGGAUUUACUGAAGACUAACUACUGCGAAAGCAUUUGCCAAGGACGUUUUCAUUAA
rnacentral:rRNA from 1 species